AAUUUUGGACAAUGGGGGAAGCCCUGAUCCAGCAAUGCCGCGUGCAGGAUGAGGGCCUGCGGGUUGUAAACUGCUUUGGUACGGACCGCGAUGUCUUUGGCGAAUACAGUGGGAUCAUGCCGGUACCGUACGUCUAAGCACGGGCUAGCUAAGUGCUGGCAGGCGCGGUAGUACGUAGGGUGCAAGUGUUAGUAGGAAUUACUGGGCGUAACGCGUGCGCAGGCGGUUUGGUAAGACAGUGGUGAAAUCCCCGGGCUCAGCCGGGGAACUGCCAUGUUGACUGCAAGGCUGGAGUGCGGCAGAGGGGGAUGGAAUUCCGCGUGUAGCAGUGAAAUGCGUAGAUAUGCGGAGGAACACCGAUGGCGAAGGCAAUCCCCUGGGCCUGCACUGACGCUCAUGCACGAAAGCGUGGGGAGCAAACAGG
rnacentral:rRNA from 1 species